GCGCGCCACCGCCGCACUGCCAUCGUUUCCUGUGUGUCCUCAGGUCACCGCUUGCUCUAGUUCCCAGGCUUUGGCCUCCAGUGGACGAGAAUCGCUGAGCCUGCGGGGCUGGACGCUGAGCGCCCGGGCCAGCACCUAGGCGGGCGCGGAGCUGUGCGGGCCAGGGUUCGCACGCUCUGGGUGGAGGCUCCAGCGGGGACCCCCGAGCGUGAGCCCCGGAGCCGGCGGCGCUGGGGCCAGGGGGGCCGAGCGGGAGGUGGCGGAGGAGGCGAAGGGGCGGCGGGACCCGGGCCUGGCCCGUGUGUGUCCUGGCGGCCUGGCUCAGGCCGCCGCUGUACGGUGAGCCCCAGGGAGGCGGAUCUGGGCCCCGGGAAGGACACCCGUCUGGAUUUGCCCCGUAGGCCCGGCCCGGGCCCCUCGGGAGCAGAACAGCCUUGGUGAGGUGGACAAGAGGGGACCUCGAAAGCAGACGCGCGCCAGCGACAGCAGCUCCGCCCCGGCCUCUCGGGAGCCGUGAGGCAGAGGCUGCGGAGACCCAGGAGGGUCUACCAGCCAGUCUCUGCACGUUUCUAAGAGCAGCAGAAAAUGAAUACAUUGCGGUUGAAUCCAGCGGGCAUUUCCUAGCCCCUACCUCACAGGACCCUUUGUCUGCCUUUGACAUCUGUUACUUCCAAACUGAUAUUUUCUCCAUGGAGUCUCUCUUUUCUUGGCUUUUGAAAAGAUUCAUCUUUGCAAAGCCUCAUUCCUUUUGUUCAGCUGCCCCCUAGUGACUCCAUGUGUGAAGAGUAUGGUCUGAGCUGUUCUCUGCAUAAUCUUUUUUAAUGGAGUCUCACUCUGUCAACCAGGCUGCAGUGCAGUG